AUAAAUUGGGAAGAUCAUUAUAAAAACAGUUAAUGUUUCUUUGAAAAAUUAAACAAAUAAUAUACUAUAUGAUUCAGCAAUUUCAUUUCUGUGUCUAGAUCACAAGGGGAUGUAAUCAUUGAAUUGAAGAGGUAUCUGCAUCCUCAAGUGUCGCCAGCCGCAACGUCAGAAUCCUGCCAGCAGGUCCCAAACCUGAGGGAAGAACAACAGGAGAGCAGUUUCACAAAUUUAGUUCCAGGCUCAUGCUCUACUGCAGCAAGGCCCCGUUUAUUUUUCAAGGACACCAGAGAACAUUGCAAACCAGAUCAGAUCAUACUCUUCCCUUAACAUCUGCAGUGGCUUGAAGCAUCUCCAGAAUACCACCUAACCCCUUCAUGCCUCAUCUCUGCUGUUCUGUCUACCUUGGAAGGAAUGUACAUCUUCCUCAGACUAGUUCCCACUCCUACAACAGAGGGAGGUGAGUGUGGCCCCUGGGACAACUGGUGGAAUCAAGAUUCCAGAGAACGGAGAAAUGUGGCUGUGUUCCAAAAUGAAUACUAGUACCAGGGAGGUAGGAUGGCACCCUACAUUUUCUCUCUCCUAAUCUGUUUUUUAUCUCAUUGCCUUUUCAUCUUGUCCUUCUACAUCUGUAAGCUCCUUUUUCAUCUAGGCAAAAA
rnacentral:lncRNA from 1 species